AUUGAACGCUGGCGGCAUGCUUUACACAUGCAAGUCGAACGGCAGCGCGGGCUUCGGCCUGGCGGCGAGUGGCGAACGGGUGAGUAAUGCAUCGGAACGUGCCCAGUUGUGGGGGAUAGCCCGGCGAAAGCCGGAUUAAUACCGCAUACGACCUGAGGGUGAAAGCGGGGGACCGAAAGGCCUUGCGCUAUUGGAGCGGCCGAUGUCGGAUUAGCUAGUUGGUGGGGUAAAGGCGUACCAAGGCGACGAUCCGUAGCUGGUCUGAGAGGACGACCAGCCACACUGGGACUGAGACACGGCCCAGACUCCUACGGGAGGCAGCAGUGGGGAAUUUUGGACAAUGGGGGCAAGCCUGAUCCAGCCAUGCCGCGUGCGGGAAGAAGGCCUUCGGGUUGUAAACCGCUUUUGUUCGGGAAGAAAACCACUGGGCUAAUACCCCGGGGGGAUGACGGUACCGGAAGAAUAAGCACCGGCUAACUACGUG
rnacentral:rRNA from 1 species